rnacentral:lncRNA from 1 species
CCAUUUGUUUCUGCCAGGUGGUACAAAUGCCAUUCUGAUCUGACAGUAGCCAAUGUCCAAUGGUUGCUUCACUUUACUGCUCAAUCAUCUCCAAAGAAAUGACUAUUUUGCAGGGGUGGAUGUGAGGGAGUAACAGGGAAAUCUUGAAGCUGAGACAACAGAGAAAUUUAUUUUUCCUGGAAAGUAUCUCUGAGGCACAGAUGAUGUCUCUUGUUAGAUUACUGCCUUUGAUAAAAAUGGAAGCAGCACAGAAAGCCACGGUUUGCAUCAUUUUUUCUCUGAUCUUCUAUUAUGGGGAAACUGAGGCAUGCAGAGGAUUAACCACUCAUCCCAGGUCACUCAAGUGGUAAGUUGUUGCUACAGGAGUGGGAACCAGGCCUGGGCACAACUUGAUUCAUGACCUGCUUUCGUCAGUGUAGAUCACAGGGCUUGUGAGGCACGGUGGGGAGGAGGAGGAGAAGGUGCUUUUCAUGGAAGAUCUCUCAGGUCUAUCCUGCUCGGCAAACACAAAGUGUUUUUCAGACAGAAAUUCUUCUGCUGAGGAAAAUGCUCACUGCCCUAGUUUAUAACUCAUGCUGCUAUUUUUUCAGUGCCCUCUUCCAUCAGGUUUUGGUUAUAGACUUUCAUUCAACAUUCUCCCGAAUAAGGAAAUGGUAAAUAUUAUCUAUAAUAUACAGUGUCAGAUUUCCAUAUCUGAAUUUGAUUGAGAAAGAAAUACGUGAAGCAACAUUUCUAUCUCAGAUGAAGAAAAGUGAGCUUACCCUGGGGGUGGACAGGGCCUCUUCCUCUGCCCUGUUCCCAGGAGGUCUUCCAACAUGUUCUACAUAAGAUGUAGCUGGUUAGUAAGUAUGGACUGAGCUGCUGCUGGGGAGAUAAGAGGACACAGAGUAAUGGUGAGGACAUUGGUGGUGAGCUCAGGAAUUACUUAGGGAGCUUUGCUUGAAGUGGAUCCGGGGUGAGAGUGUAUACAUAAGAUGUAGCUGGUUAGUAAGUAUGGACUGAGCUGCUGCUGGGUCAUCCUCCUUGGUGAAUGAAGGAAGGGAAAGAAUAAGAGCAGGAAAGAAACAAGAAAUUGAACCUUUGGUUUCAGGGAAACCUAAAGAUCGUCAAUCUGAAAAGGGUAAGCAGUAAAAUGCACGCUGCGUUUCAAUGACAGAGUCCCACAACUCCUUCUGUCCAUUUUCAAACUCAGCCAAACUCCCACGUUUUGAAAUGUUAUAAGACCAUUUUGGCUUCCAUGCCUUGGUGCAUGUUCCUGCUGUAUCCACCAUCUAUUCUGUUAGAUUUUUAACUUUUUUAUUGUGAUGAAAUAUACAUAAUAUUUAUCCUUUUAAUAAUUUUAGGUCUACA